UACGUAGGGUGCGAGCGUUAAUCGGAAUUACUGGGCGUAAAGCGUGCGCAGGCGGUUUUGUAAGACAGGCGUGAAAUCCCCGGGCUCAACCUGGGAAUUGCGCUUGUGACUGCAAGGCUGGAGUGCGGCAGAGGGGGAUGGAAUUCCGCGUGUAGCAGUGAAAUGCGUAGAUAUGCGGAGGAACACCAAUGGCGAAGGCAAUCCCCUGGGCCUGUACUGACGCUCAUGCACGAAAGCGUGGGGAGCAAACAGG
rnacentral:rRNA from 1 species